GUCUACGGUCAUGCCACACUGAACAAGCCCGAUCCCAUCUGAUCUCAGAAGCUAAGCAGGAUCGGGCCUGGUUAGUACUUGAAUGGGAAACCACCUAGAAAGACCAGGUGCUGUAGGUG
rnacentral:rRNA from 1 species